CAGUAGCCGCGGGAAUACGUAGGGUGCAAGCGUUAAUCGGAAUUACUGGGCGUAAAGCGCACGCAGGCGGUCUGUCAAGUCGGAUGUGAAAUCCCCGGGCUCAACCUGGGAACUGCAUUCGAAACUGGCAGGCUAGAGUCUUGUAGAGGGGGGUAGAAUUCCAGGUGUAGCGGUGAAAUGCGUAGAGAUCUGGAGGAAUACCGGUGGCGAAGGCGGCCCCCUGGACAAAGACUGACGCUCAGGUGCGAAAGCGUGGGGAGCAAACAGGAUUAGAUACCCGCGUAGUCCCUGUCUCUUAUAC
rnacentral:rRNA from 1 species